UCGUCCAGGAUCUGCGGGCAGAUGAGGUGGACGUGGGAGUCGAUCGCCCCGGCGGUCAGGAUCUUCCCGUUGCCCGAGAGGAUCUCGGUCGAGGGGCCGAUGACCAGGUCGGGGUGGAUGCCGUCCAUGGUGUCGGGGUUGCCGGCCUUGCCGAUCGCGACGAUCCGGCCGCUCCUGAUCCCGAUGUCGGCCUUGACCACGCCCCAGUGGUCGAGGACCACCGCACCGGUGAUCACCAGGUCGGGCGAGCCCUCGGCCCUGGUGGUCCUGGCCUGGCCCAUCGACUCCCUGAUGA
rnacentral:sRNA from 1 species